CAUCGAUGUGAGAAUGAUUUCAUGAGAGCAAACAGCCGGCAGCUCUCGCAGGUGAUUAGAGCUCGUUAAGGAAGUCGGAUCCAAUAAUUUCAUUAAGAUUUCAGGAAGCAAACAAACAGGAAAAUCUGGUUUUCAAGUCAACGUGUUGACACGGUAAAUAAUCAGAGCAAUAAAGUCAGAGGGAAGUCUGUCGGAGGGUCGAUACCCGAGCGGGUACAAAAGGAGGCAACUGGGACCUGAACGCCCCGUCUGCAGGUCUGAUCUCUGAGCGUCUGUCCAGGAUCUUCAUCUUCAUCAUCCUCAUAAUGGCCUCCAUCAGUGUGACUCAGGUCUUCCUGCUGUUGGCCCUCCUCCACCUCACCACAUCACUUCCUGUCAGGGAUGAAGAUGAGAUGGAGAGUUUCCUGACUCAGAUUAGCCACCUGAACGCACCAUGGUCUCUGUCGGGGAUGAGCUCUGCUGACGCUCUGCUCGAGGACAGACUCAGGCAGCUGCUGUCUGCAGGACUGGACCGCAGGAGGCAGCUGGGAGACAUCGAGUUCUCCAACAGAUACGCAGAGUUCCUGCGAUCUAAAGCCAAACACAGCUCCACCUGCGCCUUCCUGCGCCGCAUGCAAGGCGCCAAAAAGAGCGGGGUGGGAGGAGACGUGGAGAAGGUGAACCUGCUGCUGAAACAGUACAUGUGUCCGUCCGUCUACAACAACUGGUCCACCGACCUGUAAAAGACACACAAGAGAUUACAGCUGAUGUUAGAGGGACAAACAUGUUACUGAUGUUCUGUAUGAAGCUCUAUAUAUACAGCUGUAAUCAUAUUUAAUAUGGAAACACGGAUAUCUUUGUCAUUAAAAAAGGUUUUAUGAAGUACUUUACGUGGUCAGUGUGUUUAGUAACUCAUUUGAGGACAUUUGAGGACAAUCUUACCUUUAGCUGUUGUAUUUGUCUCAAAGCAUCCUCAGACGUCUAUAAAGACUUUCAGUCAUCCAGGUCUUAUCAUAUCCAGUGCUGACUCCAGGGCAGUUUAAAGCUAGUUGCCCCCUGACUCAGCACUUCUAGAUUGACCGUCCUCAGAUCUGCUGCUGGCAGGCGGAAUAUUAAAAUAAGUAGGUUUGAAAUAUACAAAAUAAUUUCUACAGAAUCCAUCUGUAUCUUCGUCCGUGCUGUUGGAAACAAUCGUAUACUCUGAAUUCCAUUCACC
rnacentral:lncRNA from 1 species